rnacentral:rRNA from 1 species
UACAGAGGCCUCGAGCGUUAAUCGGAAUCACUGGGCUUAAAGCGUGCGUAGGCGGACGUGCAAGCAUGUUGUGAAAUCCCAUGGCUCAACCAUGGAACUGCUUCGUGAACUGCACGUCUUGAGACAAGUAGGGGCGGUCGGAACGAUAGGUGGAGCGGUGAAAUGCGUAGAUAUCUAUCGGAACGCCGAAGGAGAAGUCAGGCCGCUGGGCUUGUUCUGACGCUGAGGUACGAAAGCGUGGGGGAGCAAACGGGG